UACAGAGGUCUCAAGCGUUGUUCGGAUUCAUUGGGCGUAAAGGGUGCGUAGGUGGCGGGGUAAGUUGGAUGUGAAAUCCCGGGCUCAACCCCGGAACUGCAUUCAAUACUGCCUUGCUAGAGUACUGGAGAGGAGAUUGGAAUUUACGGUGGUAGCAGUGAAAUGCGUAGAUAUCGUAAGGAAGACCAGUGGCGAAGCGGAUCGUCUGGACAGUUACUGACACUGAGGCACGAAGGCCAGGGGAGCAAA
rnacentral:rRNA from 1 species